GAAGAAGGCCUUCGGGUUGUAAAGUACUUUCAGUAGGGAGGAAGGUGGUUAAGUUAAUACCUUAAUCAUUUGACGUUACCUAAAGAAGAAGCACCGGCUAACGCCGUGCCAGCAGCCGCGGUAAUACGGAGGGUGCAAGCGUUAAUCGGAAUUACUGGGCGUAAAGCGCAUGCAGGUGGUUUGUUAAGUCAGAUGUGAAAGCCCU
rnacentral:rRNA from 1 species